CGGGGUUGCGGACAGUGUCUGGUGGGUAGUUUGACUGGGGCGGUCUCCUCCCAAAGCGUAACGGAGGAGCACGAAGGUUAGCUAAUCCUGGUCGGACAUCAGGAGGUUAGUGCAAUGGCAUAAGCUAGCUUGACUGCGAGCGUGACGGCGCGAGCAGGUGCGAAAGCAGGUCAUAGUGAUCCGGUGGUUCUGAAUGGAAGGGCCAUCGCUCAACGGAUAAAAGGUACUCCGGGGAUAACAGGCUGAUACCGCCCAAGAGUUCAUAUCGACGGCGGUGUUUGGCACCUCGAUGUCGGCUCAUCACAUCCUGGGGCUGAAGUAGGUCCCAAGGGUAUGGCUGUUCGCCAUUUAAAGUGGUACGCGAGCUGGGUUUAGAACGUCGUGAGACAGUUCGGUCCCUAUCUGCCGUGGGCGCUGGAGAAUUGAGGGGGGCUGCUCCUAGUACGAGAGGACCGGAGUGGACGCAUCACUGGUGUUCGGGUUGUCAUGCCAAUGGCACUGCCCGGUAGCUAAAUGCGGAAGAGAUAAGUGCUGAAAGCAUCUAAGCACGAAACUUGCCCCGAGAUGAGUUCUCCCUGAGACUUUAAGUCUCCUGAAGGAACGUU
rnacentral:rRNA from 5 species